CAUUCACCUCUGUUUCAAUCAUCUCUCUUGCGUCUGAAUUAAAGAAGAAGAAAGUUAGGGUGUUUUGCGCAAGAAAUCUUUCAAUUACAGCCGGAGAAAAGGGGGAUAAGUGUGGAUCAUCAGGGAUUUGCACUUUUGAAGCAUUUUCCCGAGAUUUUAUGAAGUGAAUACGAGCAUUUGAGGAGCACGACCAGUUUUCGUAGCCCAGGGUCGGUUAGAGUCAUCAAACCGGUAAUAAGGGCUCAACAUAUAUGAUACCAAGGCAUUUGGACCAAGUAUUCAAGACCCGAAGAGGAAAUCCGGAUUGAGCUGAAGGAUCGGAGCCCAAUCAAGAGUCCAAGAUAGCCCAAGAGCUUCGCCCGGCCAAAAAUGGCUCUGCCCGAAGGCGCGCCCGACCGGGCGGGGCGAAAGAAGAAUGAAGCAGCCCUUCGCCCAAUCUCGCGCCCGGUGGGGCACGAGAGACGCACUUGAUGGAAAAAGGCGGGCCCGAUCGGGCGCGUGUUUUGGGGAGCAUGUUUCCGGCAAUUUUUACUUAGUUUCCAAAUAGGAUUAUUUUAGGAGCUUAAUAUAAAUACAUUUUAGAGUUAUUAGUUUAGGUUCUCUUCUCUAAGACUUUCUCCCUCUACUUGUUAUUAUUAUUUUCUCUCUUUACAACUCCAUACUUUGUUUUUGAUUCGACUCUUUAUUUUACGUUAAUUUCGGUAACGAUUUCUUCUCUAUUAAUUUCAGUAAUUCUAUUUCUUUUA